rnacentral:tRNA from 1 species
CGCGGGGUGGAGCAGUUGGUAGCUCGCCAGGCUCAUAACCUGGAGGUCGUGGGUUCGAGUCCUGCCUCCGCAA